rnacentral:rRNA from 1 species
GUAACGCGUAGGUAUCUAUCUCCGGGUGGGGGACAACGGUUGGAAACGACUGCUAAUACCGCAUGAUGCCCGAGGGCCAAAGGCGUAAGUCGCCUGGAGAGGAGCCUGCGUACGAUUAGCUUGUUGGCGGGGUAAUGGCCCACCAAGGCGACGAUCGUUAGCUGGUCUGAGAGGAUGAUCAGCCACACUGGGACUGAGACACGGCCCAGACUCCUACGGGAGGCAGCAGUGGGGAAUAUUGGACAAUGGGCGCAAGCCUGAUCCAGCAAUGCCGCGUGAGUGAAGAAGGUCUUCGGAUUGUAAAGCUCUUUCGACGGGGACGAUGAUGACCGGUACCCGUAAAGAAGCCCCGGUUAACUUCGUGCCAGCAGCCGCGGUAAAUACGAAGGGGGCUAGCCGUUGCUCGGAAUGACUGGGCGUAAAGGGCGCGUAGGCGGUGAACACAGUCAGGCGUGAAAUUCCCGGGCUCAACCUGGGGGCUGCGCUUGAUACAUGUUCGCUUGAGUUCGGAAGAGGG